rnacentral:pre_miRNA from 1 species
UUUCUACUCCCUUCAUCCGAAAAUGUUUGUCUUAAAUUUAUUUAGAUAUGAAUGUAUCUAGAUAUAUUUUAGUGUUAGAUGUAUCCGUGUCUAGAAAAAUCUAAGACAGUCAUUUUAGAACGGAGUUAAUAUUUU